CACGCACAGUUCUGUCCUGAAAUAACUUCAGGUAAACAAGAUCCUGAAUAAUUGAAUGAGAGUUACCUCAAACAGCUGUACCAACAGAAAAAUGAAUAGAAAAACUGGGAAACCUUAAAGGUCCCAUGUGUCAUGUCUGGCAAAAAAAAUCAAGUCAUACUCCACAUUCCAUACCAGAUGGGGGCAGUAUGCCUCAAUAAAGUGAAUUGGUCUACUCUAGAGUAACAAACGAGAAACGGCAUAGUCUCUAUGCUCCGCCCCUACCUUCACAACAACCCUAGAGCCAUAGCCGAAGCCUAAGAGGACGUUUUGCCUCCAGAGGAACGUUGGGUGAUGUCAAGUGAUUUUGAAACAUGACAUCUUCAAGCUACUCCCCUUCACCUUUACCAGUGAAUAUGUUCAUAUUCGUUUUGUUCAUAUUACAUUUUGAGUUGUAUAUACACAACAGCAUUCUGUCAACAUCAUUGGUCAACAUCAGACAGCUGAUGUUGACCAAGCUAGCGCCAACCAACGUAACCAGAGCUGCCAACUCUCAAGCAUUCACCGUGAGACACACGCAAUUGACUCUUUUCACACGCUUUCACGCCACACAUCAAUUUUCUCACGCACAGAAAAACCACGAAACAAAGAGGACACGGAGACCAACAGACUAGACAAAGCAGGUUAGUUAUGAUAUAAAAAAAUAUCAGAUUCUGUCAAUUUUAUGACGCAAUUCAAACAAUACCGUUUUGGCACUUGUAAAUGUUACACGUUUUUUCAUGGGAGUGGAUGACAGUGGUCCUUCAUACCUAAAAAAAUUAACACAGUUCAACACUACAGUAACAAAUGUUAUGCCUAAUGCCGGAACUAGUCUCAGAUCCCAAAAUCAGCUAGCCAGUCGAUCGCCAAUGCAUAACUUACUUCACCAUCACUUUACAUAACAUCGUCAAAACUGUUGUAGUUUAGUUAAAAAUGAUAAAGUAUUCUUAGCUGCACAUAUACAAGUGAAAAUAGGGACAACAUCUAUUUAGAGUGUUACGUAUGCUGCCCGCCUGAUGCUAAUUUAGCAGCAUAUAUCAAGUUUGAUUUUCAUUAGCAAAAACUUGACCGCUCUGAAUAUAGUGAGUGAGUGCACGUGCGGCCGGGGCGCUAUAUGCUGCCCACCUGAUGCUAAUUUAGCAGCAUAUAUCAAAUUUGAUUUUCAUUAGCAAAAACUUGACCGCUCUGAAUAUAGUUAGUGAGUGAGUGCGCGCGCGGCCGGGGCGCUCUCUCUCUCUCUCUCUCUCUCUCUCUCUCUCUCGAUACAUUUCUAUGUUAUAACUUCCCGAAAAAAAUACGCAAACAUAUAAAACAAACUUCUAGCGAAAUACUAACAGCAUCUUACUUACCAAUCCAAAAGAAAUGUUGCAAGUUCGGAGUCGAAGCUCAUUUCUUUUAAGUCCAUCAGUUGUCUCCAGCGAUGGAAAGCAGUGCCGAUGUUUACUCUGGUUCGGCUCCUUUUCUUAUCGGAUUUGAUUUGUGAUUCCGAGCGCGGUUGUUUCCCUGUAGCGGGUGGUGGUGGUAGGUGUCUCUUGCCAAGGGCUUCAGCCAUCCUUCCGCUCUCUUCCCUGAACUGAAUUGAAGUAGUGGGCUGUACUUUCCACACGACUGACAUCAGGUUCAAGUACGGCCACA
ensembl:lncRNA